AUACGUAGGUGACAAGCGUUAUCCGGAUUUACUGGGCGUAAAGGGCGUGUAGGCGGUCUUGCAAGUCAGAAGUGAAAUUCCUGAGCUCAACUCGGGCGCUGCUUCUGAAACUGCAGGACUUGAGUGCUGGAGGGGAUAGCGGAAUUCCUAGUGGAGCGGUAAAAUGCGCAGAUAUUAGGAAGAACACCGGUGGCGAAGGCGGCUAUCUGGACAGUAACUGACGCUGAGGCACGAAAGCGUGGGGAUCAAACAGGAUUAGAUACCCUGGUAGUCCACGCAGUAAACGAUGAUAACUAACCGCUGGGUCGUAGAGAUUCAGUGGCCAAGCGAAAGCGAUAAGUUAUCCACCUGGGGAGUACGACCGCAAGGUUGAAACUCAAAUGAAUUGGCGGGG
rnacentral:rRNA from 1 species